rnacentral:rRNA from 1 species
UACAGAGGUCUCAAGCGUUGUUCGGAUUCAUUGGGCGUAAAGGGUGCGUAGGCGGCGCGGUAAGUCGGGUGUGAAAUCCCGAGGCUCAACCUCGGGUCUGCAGUCGAUACGGGCGGACUGGAGUUCGGCAGGGGAGACUGGAAUUCCUGGUGUAGCGGUGAAAUGCGCAGAUAUCAGGAGGAACACCGGUGGCGAAGGCGGGUCUCUGGGCCGAUACUGACGCUGAGGAGCGAAAGCGUGGGGAGCGAACAGG